rnacentral:pre_miRNA from 1 species
GGUCUCAUUCGUCUACCUUAGCGCUCCGGGUGCAGCGCCCAUCGCAUCGGCUGAAGGAGACCCAGUGGGAUAGGCGCUGCACUCAGAGCGCCGAGGUAGAUCUGUCCCCC